AUACGGAGGGGGUUAGCGUUGUUCGGAAUUACUGGGCGUAAAGCGUACGUAGGCGGACUGGAAAGUGGGGGGUGAAAUCCCGGGGCUCAACCCCGGAACUGCCUCCAAAACUUCCAAUCUAGAGAUCGAGAGAGGUGAGUGGAAUUCCAAGUGUAGAGGUGAAAUUCGUAGAUAUUUGGAGGAACACCAGUGGCGAAGGCGGCUCACUGGCUCGAUACUGACGCUGAGGUACGAAAGCGUGGGGAGCAAACAGGAUUAGAUACCCUUGUAGUCC
rnacentral:rRNA from 1 species